rnacentral:tRNA from 1 species
ACCUGGCUGGCUCAUUUGGUAGAGCGUGAGACUUUUGAUUUUGGGGUUGUAAGUUCAAGCCCCAUGUUGGGUG